rnacentral:lncRNA from 1 species
UAGGAAUGAUGCAGAAGCAAAAAUUGGAAUACUUUAUAUGAGGUACACAAAGAAGGAUUACCACAGGAAAUCCAGAGAGGCUUUAGAAGACGAGCUUGCGUUGAGAUAGAAGCCGGAAGCCCACUUAGCCAACUGCCUCCAUGGGACUUGGCAUGAGGCAGGCUUAUGACAGUAAAUGCUACACUGCCCUCAGUGAAAAAGAGAAUUUGGCAUUCAUUCUUCUGAACCCGCCAUCCCUCAGCCUUGGCGCCUGGGAAUUCUGCGAAUCGUUGCCUGUGGCAGUGACACUGAUUUGUAUCUGGGUAUGAACUUAAAUGAAAACAUGAAUUGAACUCAUUACUUGAGGAAGGAAACACUGCCAAAUUUAACAGGAUGAAAUUCCAGCAGGGUGUAAGGUUUUAUGGGGCUACAGUGGAAUAUCUCAUAGAAAGGUUUCCAGUUCAUAAAACACUUUCAAAACAUGCUCGGCCCUUUUAAGUUGAAGGGACAUUAUCAUUUCUAUCUAUGGCAUUUCUCUGCAAAUUGAACUCAAAUAUCCUUUGGGCUGACUACACAGAGAACAGAAGAAAGAAGUGGAAGAAACUUGGACUGAAGAUUGCCUCCCUGAAAAGGUUUUCUUCAGGCAGAAUUAGGUGAGAACAAAUGACAUCAGAAAGUAGCAUGUCAGUAUACUGCUGCCAGCUCCAUAUGGUUCAGCUUGUUUUCACAGGUAUUUAAUUAAUUCCACAAACAUAUAUUGAGUAUCAGAUGUGGGAUCCUGUUCAACACAUUUGGGGUACAGUAGUCAAUUAGUCUACUCUCAUGGCACAUACAUGCUGGAAGGAGAGAAAAACAAUAAAUAAAUGAACAAAAGAUGCAGUAUCAGGUAGUGAUCAUUGCUAUCAAGAAAAAUAAAGCAAGAGAAAAUGGGAUAGAAGGUGUCAGGGGUGCGGGGUGACAUUUUACAUAGUGUGUUUGGCAAAGGCAAUUCUCAGGUGGUGACAUUUGAACAGAAGCUUGAAUGAAGUGACCUACAUGUUGAAUCCAGAAAGCUAAUUUUAUAUAUAUAUAUUUUUGGAAGGGGGCAGGAGAUAAUAAGCUAGUAAAAGGGUUGGGAAAUUAUUUUGAUUCAAGGAUGCCCAGUUUAAAAAACUGUAAGAGACAGCCCCUCUUUUUCUCCCAGUAUAGCGCUUUCGGUGGCCAUUUGAAUAGAGCUCUGCAUGUUUCCUUGGGAUUUUCUGGUGUUCAUGGCAUAACAACCAGCCAGCAGUCUUCUGGCUGGACCACGUUUUACUUGCUAGCAAGGAGCAGAAGCUGUGGAAAUUGGCAUGUAGAGAUGUAAAAGGAUUUUAUACUUUUCAGCCUGGGCAGAAAAUUAUAGAGAAAAGUAGGUGGGAGUCAGAAAAACAUGAAAUGAGAAAGAAAAGCAUAAUCUGAGUGAGUUCUCUCUCUUUUUUUUUUUGUUUUCUAUGUUUAUCUUUCCACAGCUUUUUCACUGGCUCUGUUAAAAAGCAAAUAUCACUGCAAACUUCAUUUCAUUUUCUCUCAACAGAUGAAAUAAAGCUUGUUAAAAUGUUUUUCCCUUCUGUCAGGUGCAAACUCCAUGUUAGCAGGUUUGAAAACUUUCACAUGUUCAGAUAGCAAUGGAGGUUUUAACUUGGCCAACAUCAACAAACAAACCAUGAGUCCCUCACGUGUGCAAUGCUUGCAUAGAAUGAAAUUGAGUAUGAGCAUGUUUGCCAACCCUACUACAAAUGGUUUAUUUAGAAUAGUAGAAUGUGAAAAAUACAGAUUUAUUUUUAAUAGCUAGUACCAUGAUGAUUAUUGAUUUUUUCUUCCAGAUUAUUAAUUUAAAUAGCAAAAUUAUGCUACAUGUUUAAAAUAUGUCUGUAUCCUGAAAGUACUUAUUGUAAGCUUAAGCCCAGUCUUAUUUCUAAAAAGAUAAUUUGUAGGAGGUAUAAUUUUCAUUUGUAUUCAUGUAUAUUAAUAUAUUUUUUGGUGUUACACUGUUGCAUGAGGAUAGCUGUAAGGUCAGGAUAUUUAGGAAACCUCUGAAUUGAACAUUGAGCUUGUGGAUCUAAUAUUUAAGUAACUGGUUUCUGUCUACGUACUCUUUUCUCUUCCGUGGUAAGCCCUGCAGGCAAGCUCACUUCUCUAUGUUCUCAGUUGUAAAUGAGGAAAGUAGGACGAGGUAUGGAGCUGGAGGGUAAAUGGCAGAAUAGAAGACAGAGUGCCAUUCUGCGUAAGAGCACCACCUUUUGUGUUUGGCAGGCUUGGUUUUAGUCCUGAUUUUUCCAGGUCCAAGUAUAAUCUGGAGCAUUUCUCAAAUUCACUAAACCUCAGUUUCACCUUCUGUAAAACGAAGCUAUUUCAUUGAGUUAUUUUGGGUUACAUAUGUAAAAUUUACAGCCAAAUACUUAACACUCAAGUCUGUCAAGAAACAAUUCCAAAUAUUUUAUAAUAAAUAUAUAAAAAACUUUCACAAUUCAUGGAAUUUACUUCUUGAUUAGUUGCCAUGGUCUAUGGUUAUAAUGAAAUGUACUCUUGGCAGUCCUGGAUAGAGAAGCUCUUGAACCACAACCACAACCAUUACCUUGGAGAUGUCGAAACUGCCCUUUUCCCCGAGACCAUCAUUAGUGCUUUCCACGAACCUGGAUGAUAACCUCACGUUCACCUUUCAAAGCCAAGAAUAACAAGAGAAUUGAAUGUAAUGAUAAUGUUUCUUCUUAAAAUUAUGCCAAAUCCGACUUAGUUGAUGUGAGUUCUGCUUUUUAAAUUAAAGAAAGUACAAAGUCUAUUUUGUGGGUUGGCUAAAAGGGCACUGG